rnacentral:rRNA from 1 species
AGUGAACGCUGGCGGUAGGCCUAACACAUGCAAGUCGAACGGCAGCACAGUAAGAGCUUGCUCUUACGGGUGGCGAGUGGCGGACGGGUGAGGAAUACAUCGGAAUCUACUUUUUCGUGGGGGAUAACGUAGGGAAACUUACGCUAAUACCGCAUACGACCUACGGGUGAAAGCAGGGGAUCUUCGGACCUUGCGCGAUUGAAUGAGCCGAGGUCGGAUUAGCUAGUUGGCGGGGUAAAGGCCCACCAAGGCGACGAUCCGUAGCUGGUCUGAGAGGAUGAUCAGCCACACUGGAACUGAGACACGGUCCAGACUCCUACGGGAGGCAGCAGUGGGGAAUAUUGGACAAUGGGCGCAAGCCUGAUCCAGCCAUACCGCGUGGGUGAAGAAGGCCUUCGGGUUGUAAAGCCCUUUUGUUGGGAAAGAAAAGCAGCAGGUUAAUACCCUGCUGUUCUGACGGUACCCAAAGAAUAAGCACCGGCUAACUUCGUG